rnacentral:rRNA from 1 species
GACGAACGCUGGCGGCGUGCUUAACACAUGCAAGUCGAACGGAAAGGCCCCUUUGGGGGUACUCGAGUGGCGAACGGGUGAGUAACACGUGAGUAACCUGCCCUUGACUUCGGGAUAACUUCAGGAAACUGGGGCUAAUACCGGAUAGGAAUCCUUGCUGCAUGGUGGGGGUUGGAAAGCUUCGGCGGUUUUGGAUGGACUCGCGGCUUAUCAGCUUGUUGGUGGGGUAGUGGCUUACCAAGGCUUUGACGAGUAGCCGGCCUGAGAGGGCGACCGGCCACAUUGGGACUGAGAUACGGCCCAGACUCCUACGGGAGGCAGCAGUGGGGAAUAUUGCACAAUGGGCGGAAGCCUGAUGCAGCAACGCCGCGUGCGGGAGGACGGCCUUCGGGUUGUAAACCGCUUUCAGCAGGGGCGAAGCUUGUGGUGACGGUACCUGCAGAAGAAGCACCGGCUAACUACGUG